ACGAACGCUGGCGGCGUGCUUAACACAUGCAAGUCGAGCGGUAAGGCUCCUUCGGGAGUACACGAGCGGCGAACGGGUGAGUAACACGUGAGCAAUCUGCCCUUCUCAUCGGAAUAACCAUUGGAAACGAUGGCUAAUGCCGAAUAUGACCUCGGAUCACAUGUUCUGAGGUGGAAAGCUCCGGCGGAGAAGGAUGAGCUCGCGGCCUAUCAGCUUGUUGGUGAGGUAAUGGCUCACCAAGGCAUUGACGGGUAGCCG
rnacentral:rRNA from 4 species